AGACGGGGGCUGGGUCAGCCUUGUUACCUCUUUGCUGGCCAGAAAGGAAAGAGACCCUCACAGGCUUUCUCAUCUUUAAUGUGUGUCUUCACAGAGCCGUGUACAGCUUCCUUAGUGGUUUAACAGAUUGUCAAUUCUCAAAGCUAAUUACUGAUUGGGUGUUUUUGACAGACAUGGAGGAAACUGCUAGCAGCUUCUUUUCGGACAUCCCUUCCAUGAUGCAAUACCACCACAACAGCACAGAGCACAGAGCUCCUUUGUCCAUAUGUAAUGCUCAUGUGCCCAAGGUUUCAGAACCCCUCCUUGGGAGAUCUCCGGGCCCUCUCCAAGGUGUUUUCAAAUGGAAACAUCCAGCUCAUGGUCUAAGAAAAUCACCAGAGGGCAGGGCCAGCCUGACCUGUCUGUUCUGGUUACUUUUGUCUAGGAGCAAUCUUUGGAUAUACAGAAUUUGGGAGGCCAAAUUCUAAUUUUGGCCAUGGGCCCUGGACAUGAAAAUGGGUUCUUUUCCUAAGGAAUGAAGGAACAUAGCUCCAUUGUUUCAGGGGCAGAUGAGAGCUGACCACCAGAGGCCAAGGCCAGCCAGAGCUGGCAGGUUUUUUUUCUGAGAGAUGCCCUUGCAUAUUGGAAAAUUUUUUAGGGAAAGUAUCAGUUUUGCCAAUGGGCAUCUGAAAAGAGGGAUGGUUCUUUUCAUAGCAAGGAAAGCAUGCAGCUCCAGUGUUCCAGGAGCUGAUGAGAGGCAGCCCUUGACAUCCCAAGAUCAGCCAGACCUAUCAGGUGGCCCCUGGGAGGCCAAGCCAGCCAGACCUGUUCCAUGUUCCCUUGGUUCGAUGGGGCCCUGACGUGUCAUAAUGUCCCCUUGGUGACACGAGGUCAUGAAGGGUGCUCAUGAUCUCCAUGGUUCCAUCAGGUCCCACAGAGUCAUAAUGGUCUCUGGGUUUCAUGAAGCCCCGCUGUGUCACCACAGCCCCUUGGUUCCAUGGGCUCCAGUGGUGCCACAAUGAUCCCCUUGGUUUCGUGAGGUCCCCACAGUGUCCCAGUGAUCUCCAUGGGAAGGAAAGAACCGACCCCCAGUGUUGCAGGGGCAGUCACCAGAGGCCAAGGCUUGAUGGUACUGGCAGAUUUUGCCUGGAAGCAACCCUUGGAUAUACAGAAUUUUAGAGGUGGAAUCCCAGUUUCAGACAUGGACACCUGGGGGAGAAGCACAGUUGUUUUCCAUAGGAAGGAAAGCACAGAACAGAGGUGUUUCCAGGGCAGAUGAAAGGCAGCCAUCAGAGGCCUAGGACAGCCAGACCUCUCUGUCCUGGUAGCUUUUGUCUGAAAGCAACCCUUGGAUAUAGCAAAUUUGGGAGGUGGAAUCCAAAUUUCGGCCAUUUCUGUGUAGAUAAGAAGGAUGGUUCUUUUCCAUGGGAAGGAAAGCACAGAGCCCAAGAGUUUCAAAGGCAGAAGAGGAGAGAGGUGGCUCUCGGGAGGCCAAGCCAGCCAGACAUGUUUGUCCUGGCAGCUUUUGUCAUGGAGGAAUCCUUGGAUAUAUGGAAUUUGGGAGGAAGAAUCUCAAUUUUGUCCACGGGCACCUUGAGAAGAAGGAUGGUACUUUUCCAUUGGAAGGAAAUCACCAACCCAAUGUGUUUGAUUUCAUCUGGAAACAAUCUUUGCAUAUAAGGAAAUUUGGAGGAGGAAUCCCAGUUUUGACAAUGGGCCCCUGGAGGACAAGGAGAGUUCUCUACCAUAGGAAGGAAAGCCCAGAGCCCCAGUGCUUCAAGGACAGAUGAGAAAGCAGCCCUCGACAUGCCAAGGUCAGCUGGACCUGUCAAGUGAUCCCCAGGAGGCCCAGCCAGACCUGUUCCCUGUUCCCUUGGUUUUGUGGGACCCCACAGUGUCCCAAUGGUCUCCUUGGCUCCCCUUCCUUCUGCAGUGUCACAAUGGCCCCGUGCUUCCAUGAGACCUUGCAAUGUCACAAUGGCUUCAUGCUCCCACAAAGCCCUGAUCUGUCACCAGGGCCCCUCGGCUCCAUGUGCCCUCACUGUGUCACAAUGCCUCCUCCAUGACACUGGGCUCCACAAAGUCACCAUGGACCCUUGGCUCCUUGGGGCCUCUGAGUUUCACAAUGGAGACAGUCCUGGAUUGCCAAGCAGAUUGUAUUCUCUUUGCCAUCUCUAUGGCAGUUGUCUUCUGUUAAGUGGGAAGUUUACCUUAUCUCUUCCACACCCACUCCUUCCUCAGGGCAGACAUCUGCUGAUAACAGGCUACUGAAUGUCACUGCAUGACUGAUAAGAACUACAGCAUCCCAUUGUGAGAUUCUCCGCCCAGAGGGGAGAACCAAGCAUUCCUACCAGAUAUAAUCUUAAAAAUUCUGGAACACCAACAUGGCUUUCUUCACUGGAUUUCCCAGAGGAACAGCUGCUGCCUCUUCCACUGGAUCUUCAGAGGAAGACUAUACCUUUCUACAGGAUCCCUGCUGCAGCAGAAGCACACCUGACACUCCAGGAGGACUGCAGCCACCAUUCCAAUUGGACUGCUACCAACACCCUGUGCAACAGGGUGUCAGGUUGUGUUCUGAUUCUGUCAGUGUUGUCUUGCUUUACUGCAUUGUUUAUUUUAUCUUUUUAUUUGUUUCCCUAAUAAAGAACUGUUAUUCCUGCUCCCAUA